AUGGGCCGAGCUCGGCGUGACCACGGCUCUGCAACGAGCAAGUCUGAUGCGGCCGAUGGAGCAAAACCGCCAACUGGAUCUUCUACAACUCAUGUGAGGCAGAGUGUUCUGUAUUCGGCCCGAAGGGGACCUCGAGGCAGAAAAGGACGACCGGUGGAGGAGCAUACAGGUGAGGUGAGCAACAGUGAGCUUGGGCAUACAAGUGCAGACCUGUCACAGUUUGAUGCCCUGACGCUGAAUACCACACCUCCUACACUUCAAUUAUCUGAUAGGGUCGAGGAGCAUUCUACCGAGGUGAGAAGCACUGGGCCUAACGGUACAGGUGCAGACCUGUCAAAAGAUGAGGGCAUUUCGCUGAAUGUCACAUCUCCUGCAUAUGAGUCAACUGAUGGGGCUGUGGUGCAUGGCAGCAACAUGGACAUCGGUGUGCCUGAUUCUAUAAUUGAGAAGCAACCAGCUGUUCAGGAAGCAUUAUCCCCGAGGUCAGAAGAAAGGCGGCGGAGAAUAAAUCAAUACCUCGCUGAACAUACAUAUAAUGACGUCUUAGAGGCCAUGGUUGCUGUGAAAAAUGGCUUCUGCAACCCACCCAAAAAGGUUUCCAACCCCAACAAGUCAUCGGAAAAGCUUUCCUUGCCUGAUUCACCACAGUCUCCGCAUCGACUGGAUACUCAAUCCUCGCAGACAAAAAUACAGUGUGGAGAAUCUACAAAACAAAUCAUUAAAAACGGGAAACUAUGGAUGGAGAAGGAAGUCAUGAAGGCUUUUAAGAAGUGCAUCAUAGAAGGGGAGGGAUUGAGAGGUGUGAAGUUUGAACUAGACGAGCUUCUGCACCAGUGUUUCAGUGUGGAGACACAUGAGAAGAUGUUCCACCACUACAACUUCACGGUGAGGAUGAAGGAAGCUGGCUCAGACAAGUGGUCAUCAACUCUCUAUUUUGCGCAAGUGAAGGAAAUGUAUGGUCGAAAGUUUUAUUUCUGCUAUCCACUGGAUCCAAAUGAAGAUGGUAUCUGUUAUGCGUGCAAGAAUCAGGGGAUGGAUGCAUUGCGGCACCCUGCCGUUCAGUGGCGGAGCUACAUAGGAAUAGUUGGGCGGGCCAGGCAAACAAGAGCAUAUUUUCUUUCAAAAUUACAAUGA
rnacentral:rRNA from 1 species